UAGAACCCCACGGGCACAUCUUGUGGCCCCAGCACUUACCACCUUCACCAGCUGAGACAUGGACACCUCAAACUGGAUGAUGACUGGAUGGGACACAUUAGCCACUGGCCGGAUGAUCUCGUUGUAAUCUUCGAACAGGAUUCCAGGGAUGAGAUUUGGGUCUCCAGGCUUGAGCGUCUGAGUCAUCUUGCUGGCCCAAUGAAGUUGUUUUUAAAGACCCAGCAGAAAGAAGCCAGUAUCUAACAGUUACACCCUGAAGGAUUCCAUCUAAGCAGCAGGCUUGAGGAUACUGAACCACAGCAGUAAAGAAAAGUGUGAUUCUGGAACUUUUGUGGCCUGUGCUUUUCAGUUGGUGCUAACUAAUGGACACCAGCAUUCUCUCCUGAGACUCCAGUUGGUUGGAAUAAAUUGCAAAAAGACUGAUUUCAAACUCCUGGGUUCCUGAUCCUUCUGACUGAGCUGCUCUCAUGAACUGCACACAGAAGUCAAUGUUGCAGCCAACGACACUGCCAAAGCCACCAAGUCACAAAAAGACAGAAUAGGGAGGCAAAGAUGGUCAGUAAGGGCACUGGCCUGAGGGUCCAAAGGCAAGCCCAGUGCUCGCUGUGUUGAAUAGCACAGGGCCUCUGGACCUCCCUUCCUACCCUCCCACUCAGAAGACUCUGUCUCCAUCACUUCUAUCUCUCUAGCUCCAUGACCUAGAAGUCUGAGGGAAAUGUAGAAAGAAGGCUGGGGGGGAGGUGGGGAUUUAGCUCAGUGGUAGAGCGCUUGCCUAGCAAGCACAAGGCCCUGGGUUCGGUCCCCAGCUCCAAAAAAAAAAAAAAAAAAAAGAAAAGAAAGAAAGAAGGCUGGGGUUGCACUCAGAUAUGGACACCCCUGAAGGCUGACCUUCUGCCCUGGCCUGACUCUAGGCUUUGGUCACCUGUCACUCACUUGUUGUACAACACGAUGUCAGGCAACCAGACACGCUUUGCGGGGAUCCUCAGAAUGUUCACCCCUUCAUAGCAGGAGCUGUUCCAGGCCAGGCGGUAGUCAGUCCAUUCCUAAGUACACAGGCAGGGCCAUUGUCACCUGUAGGUCCACUGUUACCAAAGAGCAAACCCAGAGGAAACAUACCUGGGCUGGGGACCCUCCAAUGUACUUACCUGUUUCAGCCAGAUGCUGGUGGUCAUGAUCUGUUCUCGCUCAUUCUGGGGAGGGAAAUGGGGGUGUCAGUUCUUUUGGAAGGAGGGACCUCACCAAUGGGCUAUCCUUUAUCACAGAAAAGCUCAGAGCCCCAGGGCUGUAUGACCCAGUUGUCACCUAAAUAUCUCUUUGGUGGUCUAUUAGUUACUUCUUGUAAUGCUGUGACCGCAUACGACAAGAAGCCGCUCAGGGUACGAGGGAUUGGUUUUAGCUCCCAGUUUCACGAUGAGGGUGGCAUGGCAGUUAGAGCUCCAGCCUCCAUGUGGAGCUUAUACCUGGUCAUACUGUAGGGGACUGUGGGAAGCAGGGACAGACUUGAGCUGGAACUGGGACCAGGCUACGACCCACAAGCCUGCUCACAACGGCGUUUCCUCAUCUCCGAAAGGUUUCACUGUUUCUCAGUGCAGCCUACUGCGGAACACGUGUUUAAAGGAACGAACCAGUGGAGGACAUUCCAUAUUUACACUACAAUACUUUGUCCCUGGUCCCCAUGAGCUCCUGGGGGCUCUUAUAGUGCAAUGAUACAUUUAAUACAACUUCCAAAGGCUGCAUAGUCUUAUGGUUCCAACACUGUAAAAGUCUGAAGUCUUUUCUAAGAUUCCAGACAUUCUCUUAACAGUGAGUCCCUGUAAAGUCAAAAGAGAAGUUACUUCUGAUAUAGAAUGUCACAAACAUUUGCAUUGUGAGAGACAUUCGGGAACAAAGCAGGGGCACAUGGGACCAGAGAGCCUGGAGCGAUGCUCAAUGGUUGAGAGCAGUGGCUGCUCUUGAGGAGGUUCCCAGCACCUACGUGGUGACUGGAACCUAUCUGUAACUCCAGUUCCAGAGGAUUCCACUCUCUCUUCUGGCCUCUAGGUAUGCUGCAGGCAUUUCGUGAUCAUAUAAACCAAAAGGCAAAAUACCCAUAUGCACAAAAUAAAAAAUAAAUCUUAAGAGACUGGAUCAGAGCAAGACUGAAACCUGUCAGGGAAAACCCCAAAUGUUGUAACUCUGUGUCCAUGUGGGAGCCUUGGCGGCUUCAUCUGCCUUCCCAGUUUCAUGCAAUGGCUUCUCAGGGACUCCUUGCAGAGAAUCCAGUUAUGCUAUACACUGUCUGCUGCAGCAGCCUUCUGAACCCUUGAAAGAGGUUCCACAACCCUGGUCCUCCUGCAUCUUCCACAUCUGACAAACCAGAAGCAAGUGGAAAACACCAAAUUCUCAAGCUGAGCCAGCUUGAGAAGCUCCCCUUCUAACACAGCUGCUCUCUACACCCUCAUGGCUGAGUCUGAGAAGACACUCCCAGCAGUGGUGGAUUUGAGUUGGAAACCCUGGCAGCAACUCUUUUAGCUCAGGCCCUCUCACUCACUGAGGCUUCAGUAUCGGGGUUGGGGGUGGAGGGAAUGGGGGUGGGGAGAGUCUUGUUCCUCUCAGGGUACCUCUCCUUUUUUCCUAGAGCACAAUGCCUGGUUUCUCUUAAAUCACACCAACCUUUUUUAGUAGCUAUAGCCAGUUUGUCUGCGACCCCCUCCAUCCUCAACUCUGGCCACAUUCACAUUCCUUUCCAAAGUAUGCUUUUUUUAUACCUUCCUGGCUUCAAUUUCUAGUAUAAAGUCUGCUAAACGCAGUAAGUAAUAACCAUGCCAAAACAUGAAAGUUAUACUGCCUUAAUAUUUCCUCUCCCCAAGCAACUUAGUCCAUUACCUUUUAAUUUAGCUACAUUCAGAUUGGUAGGGCACAGAUAGAACAGAACCAGAUUUGUUUUAUACCUUUCUUGAAAUCUCAUGAGCCUAGGUUUUUCCUGUCUCCCUUGUCACCCCCUACCCCCAACUUAGUCUUUCACAAAGUUUACCAAAAGGACCCAUUAAACUCUGAUUAUAGCAUGCUAGGACUUUCCUAUUUCUUUAGCUAUAUAUACCUCCAUUUCCCUGUUUGACUCAGUUCCAAGGCCUUGCACAUCCAGGACAGGUUUACCUUAGCAAUGGCCCCAUUUCUCAUUCUCAAUUUCCAUAUUAAGUAUUUUGUUCAUCCCUGCAGCCAAAUGCUUGACAAGUGACUAAGUGGGGGAGAAAGGAGUGGUCUGGGUCACAGUCUCAUGGCAAGGGAUACAGGGUAGCUGGGGCUUUGGCUUUGGCGUGGAAACUUGUGGCCAGUCACGUGGCAGCAGAUGGAUAACACUUACAACUGAAGCCAGGCUAAAAUCCAUAGCCUUGAGCCCACCCUCAGUGACCUACUGCUGACAGCCAGGCCUUACUAUUUAAACAUUCCAUGAUUUCUCCCAAGAGUCUCCAGCUGGAGACCAAGUAUGCUUACACCUGAGCCUGUCUGUGGAGGCCACUGACGUGCAAACCAUAUUAGGUAACUCAGACAUCACUUCACACCAGCACAUCAGAGACAAAGCUCAUGAUUCCACACUCAGCAAGCAUGAUGACAAUGAUGACAAUGAUGAUGACAGCUGACCCUGGCGGG